UACGAAGGGGGCUAGCGUUGCUCGGAAUUACUGGGCGUAAAGGGAGCGUAGGCGGACAGUUUAGUCAGAGGUGAAAGCCCAGGCUCAACCUUGGAAUUGCCUUUGAUACUGAUUGUCUUGAGUACGGGAGAGGUGUGUGGAACUCCGAGUGUAGAGGUGAAAUUCGUAGAUAUCGGAAGGAACAUCAGUGGCGAAAGCGGCUUCCUGGACCAGUACCGACGUCAGGCACGAAAGCGUGGGGAGCAAACAGG
rnacentral:rRNA from 1 species